GCAAACGAACCUAAAAUUUAGGGUAUUAUUUCGGCUAAUAUUUUUCGUAAGACGUUUGUU
rnacentral:tRNA from 1 species